rnacentral:misc_RNA from 1 species
UAGGCGGCCUUUUAGCCAUUGCUUUGUCGAUUUGAUUUCAAGUUGUCCCUUUGGUCCCUUGUGUAAUUCAAAGAUCAGAUCGGCAUUGUUUUGGUUAGUUCGACGCGUUGGCGUGUGAGUGGCAAACUGAGUGUAUGUGUUGGCUGGCUCCCUGCUUACACAGCGAACUGUCAUCGCAUACACAUUUCAUUUGUGGCGGAGUUGUGGGUUUCGGAUUUUUGUGUUGGCAACCAAAUGAUGGAAUUCUUAUGUCCCUGAUGUGUAUGAUUGCCGAACAUCCCUCGUGGUGCUAGGCUAACGAAGAAGCUACUCCUUUUAUGCCCUGCGCUCCCUUUCUUGGGAACCAUGGAAAAUUGGCAGUGAUGCUUGUUGCCUCGGAUGUAGAGCAUGUGGAGAGCAUGUUGCCUGUACUCAUUGCUCAUUCAGAGCUCUCGGUUGCUCGGAAAGAGGGACCGUCGUGCUUGGUUUUGGCUGUCGACUUGUCGAUCUAGCUAGUAACUUUGCCGACGUCCUCAAUGAAUGCUACCUGGUUGAUCCUGCCAGUAGUCAUAUGCUUGUCUCAAAGAUUAAGCCAUGA